rnacentral:rRNA from 1 species
UACGGGAGGCAGCAGUGGGGAAUAUUGCACAAUGGGCGAAAGCCUGAUGCAGCUAUGCCGCGUGUAUGAAGAAGGCCCUUAGGGUUGUAAAGUACUUUUCAUCGGGGAGGAAAAAACAAAAACUAAUAAUUUUAUUUUCUUUGACGUUACCCGAAAAAGAAGCACCGGCUAACUCCGUGCCAGCAGCCGCGGUAAUACGGAGGGUGCUAGCGUUAAUCAGAAUUACUGGGCGUAAAGAGCACAUAGGUGGUUUUUUUAAGUUCAGAUGUGAAAUCCCUGGGGCUUAACCUAGGAACUGCAUUUUUGAAACUGAAAUACUAGAGUAUCGUAGAGGGAGGUAGAAUUCUAGGUGUAGCGGUGAAAUGCGUAGAUAUCUGGAGGAAUACCUGUGGCGAAAGCGGUCUCCUAAACGAAUACUGACACUGAGGGUGCGAAAGCGUGGGGAGCAAACAGGGAUUUAGAUACC